UACAGAGGUGGCAAGCGUUGUUCGGAUUUACUGGGCGUAAAGGGUGCGUAGGUGGCUGUCCGUGUCGGGCGUGAAAGCCCAAGGCUCAACCUUGGAAUGGCGCUCGAAACUGGGCGGCUUGAGUACAGGAUGGGAGAGCGGAAUUCUUGGUGUAGCGGUGAAAUGCGUUGAUAUCAAGAAGAACACCGGUGGCGAAGGCGGCUCUCUGGAAUGUUACUGACACUGAGGCACGAAAGCUGGGGGAGCAAACAGG
rnacentral:rRNA from 1 species